GCUCCGAUAGUGUAGCUCGGCCCAUCAUUCCGGGCUUUCGCCCCGAAUCUGGCUGAAUUCGAUCUUGAUCCCAAGCGGAAAGACCCGGGUUCAAAAUGUACAAACAAGUUGUUUGUGUACGGAAAAUCCCGGUCGGAGCA
rnacentral:tRNA from 1 species